UUGCUCACUUCGACAGCAAAUAUACUAAAAUUGGAAUGAUGCAGACAAGAUUAGGAUGACCCCUGUGCAAGAAUAACAUAGGUCAUUCUUGAAGGAUGGUUGCAGGAAUUC